CGGGAUCCGACCGGCCUGCAGUGCGCAGAGGACGCGGAGGGAGCAUGUACCGGCUCCUGAGCUGGAGCCGGGGUCGAGGCCUCCUGCGGGCCGCGGGGCGGCGGUACGGGGGUUACUCUGCGCGCCUGCUCCCCGGGCCGGCAGGAGGCCCCGGGCCCGAGAUGGAGGUGCCGCCACCCCGAGUUGCGCCGCACGGCCGCGGCUCGGGCCUGCUGCCGCUACUGGCAGCGCUCGCCUGGUUCUCGAGGCCUUCUGCGGCAGAUGCGGAGGAACAGCAGGGAGCGGGCGGGGCCGCCGCUGAGGAUGCGGCGGACGAGGCAGAGGCCGAGAUCAUCCAGCUGCUGAAGCGAGCCAAGUUGAGCAUCAUGAAAGAUGAACCAGAAGAGGCUGAGCUAAUAUUGCAUGAUGCUCUUCGCCUUGCCUAUCAGAGCGAUAACCUGAAAGCCAUCACUUACACUUAUGAUUUGAUGGCCAACUUAGCGUUUAUACGAGGUCAACUAGAAAAUGCAGAACAACUUUUUAAAGCAACAAUGAGUUACCUGCUUGGAGGGGGCAUGAAGCAGGAAGACAAUGCAAUAAUUGAAAUCUCCCUAAAACUGGCCAGUAUCUAUGCUGCUCAGAAUAGACAAGAAUUUGCUCUCGCUGGCUAUGAAUUCUGCAUUUCAACUUUAGAGGAAAAAAUUGAACGAGAAAAGGAAUUAUCAGAAGAUGUUAUGUCAGUGGAAGAAAAAGCCAAUACCCACCUCCUUCUGGGCAUGUGCUUAGACUCCUGUGCACGCUACCUUCUGUUCUCCAAGCAGCCAUCACAGGCACAAAGGAUGUAUGAAAAAGCUCUGCAGAUUUCUGAAGAAAUACAAGGAGAAAGACACCCACAGACCAUUGUGCUCAUGAGUGACCUGGCUACUACUCUGGACGCACAGGGCCACUUUGAUGAGGCCUAUAUUUACAUGCAAAGGGCAUCAGAUCUGGCAAGACAGAUAAAUCAUCCUGAGCUGCACAUGGUACUCAGUAAUCUAGCUGCAAUUUUGAUACACAGAGAACGAUAUACACAAGCAGAAGAGAUCUACCAGGAAGCACUGAAGCAAGCAGAGAUGAAAAGAGAUGAGGUUUCUGUACAGCACAUCAGGGAAGAAUUGGCUGAGCUGUCAAGAAAAAGUAGAUCUUUGACUUAAUAUUAUCAAGCGUUAAACCCAUUUUUCUUGUAGGGAGGGUAGUUUCUAGUGGCCUAAAGGAAUAACUGUUAUUCUAGUGUCUGUGGCAUCCAAAUCAGUGGUGUAAAUUUUCUGUUCUUGAUAUUCAGGUUUCCUCAACUUAGCCUUGGUGAAGGACAAGUUGUACAUACUGCCACAUUUGUUUUUAAAGGAAAAACAACUUUCACCCUUCACUAAUUAUGACCUCUAAGGAAUGAUGUCAAAUGAUGCUUUCCAUUGUAUUAUAUGGUUAGGUGCUGUCCAUGCUGGUCUAAGUGUAAUUAUAGAUUAAGAUGGGCCACUUUUCCUCUGGGUUGUGGGUGUGGGGUCUGGUAAUUAUGCCUAACAUUGCUACUGAAAGAUUUUUGGUUCACUGAUUUGCUGCCCUUUCUUCUUUUACUUUGUCAAUAUCUGGCAGACCAGAGCUACUCAUGGCAAAGGGAAAUUAUGUGAGAGCUUUUGCUUGAAGAUAACAGAAGAAAAUAAACCUAAACUAAAAACUGAAAUACUGCUGAACUUCAGGAGAUAAAAAAUGAUCUAAUCCAACUUUUUUAUCUGUGUGUACAUUAAGAUGUGUCUGGAAUAAUGCUUCUCCAGUAGCAGCAGCAGCAGCACUACUUUCUAGAUGAUGUGAUCCAUAUGGCUUAAGCUUACACUGUGCCUGUCAUUUUUUCUUACAAUUGGAAGUCACUUUUAUUAAAAAACAUGUAUGCUUCUGUCAUGAUAAUGUAUAGGUAAGUACAGAUAUGUACUGGGUGUAGUGCUGCAUGCCUGUAAUCUCAGCAACUCAGGAGGCUGAAGCAGGAGGUUCACAAGUUCAAAGCCAGCCUCAGCAACUUAGUGAGGCCCCCCUGUCUAUAAAGUAAGUAAAUAACUAAGGGCUGGGGAUUUAGCUCUGUGGUAAAAUGCCCCUGGGUUCAAUCCAAACCAACAAAUCCCCCUCCAAACCAACAAAAAACAUUGUGAGGGCUGGGGUUGUGGUUCAGUGGUAGAGUGCUUGCUGAGCAUGCGUGAGGCACUGGGUUCUAUUUUUUUUUUUUUUAAUAUUUAUUUUUCAGUUUUCAGUGGACACAACAUCUUUAUUUUAUGUGGUGCUGAGGAUCGAACCCAGCGCCCCGCGCAUGCCAGGCGAGCGCGCUACCGCUUAAGCCACAUCCCCAGCCCUGGGUUCUAUCUUGACAACAUGUAAAAAUAAACAAAAUAAAGGUACUGUGUCCAUCUACAACUAAAAACAAAUUGAAACAAACAAACAAAAACACUGUGAUGCCAGGAGGGUGACAUUCUAGGUUUAAAAAAAAAAAUUUGUUCAUGUUAUUAUAUCAUCUGGGCAUAUGAAACGUUUUUAAGACUUUUUCUCUGUUAAAGCAAGAGGUGACUGAGCCCAUAAAGACAAAUGCAAUUACUUGGUAAUGCACCAGAACUGGUAAAAUAAAUAAAUUGGUUCCCUGGGAAAGACAGCAGCAGAUCACUAAAAUGAAAACUUUACCCGAGUGAGGUGAUGGGUCUCCUUCAUCUCUCCUGGUCUCAUUGCUGGUCACAACUGAGGUGCUGGCACUACCAGGCACUACUCCCACAGGCUGGGGCAUGACAACUCCAUGAUCCUCAACUUUGUCAUCAAAGCUUCCCAUGAGAGCCUUCCUUAUAAUAUCUUCUAGACCAAGAUUACUCGCAGGAUCAGCAAAAGAAUGACUUCUAGAGCUAACUGAGCCUGGAAGAGAUAAUCAAGCCAUUUCUGCUUGUCUGAGAGGCAGAUCAGGGCACAGGGAAAUGAACAGAUCACACCAGCCCUCCAGCCCACUCAACUUGCACAGCACUCAGCAACUGCUUAGAACACCACUGAGGGCUCCAUACAGUAGCCUUCUCCAUGUGCAAAUAUUUUAAGGAAUCUUAUUACACUGUUACUUAGUAGAUUUGAAUUUCUUUGCUCAUUUAUCUUUUCAGGAAGUGCUGACUCUACUGACUCCUUAACUAAAUUCUUAUUUCAUUUUUGCACACUGGAGCAGUUUCCUGGCAUGCAGUCAGUACUCAAUGUGUAUUUGUUGGACUUGACUGCUACUGUACCAAAUUCAUAUUGGUAAAUAAUGUAUUUACCUGAUGUAGUAACUGCUGGCAGAUUGAAGAUCUCAGUUCCUGGCUGAGCAGCUGCUGUAUUUAAAAAACAUUUAACUGAGAUGAGCCAAUCAUGUAUGCUGAUUUAAAAAACAAACAACAACAACAAAAAAACCUAAACCAAAAAAGCACAUCUUACAAUAAAAUUAACUUUUUUAUUUUCCAUGAUCUCAACCUUUAUUUUUCAUCUGUUAAUAUGUAUACACAAUGAAAUAGUUAAAAAAAAAAAAGAAAAAAGAAAAACAAGGAAAUCAGGACAUUAACAGGUGAGGUAGAAAACUCAAAAUAGAAGUAAUAUAACUUACAAAGGGGAAAGAAACUUUGCACUGCUAGAGAAAAAUAAAUAGGGAAAAGUCCUUCUCCGAACAGGAAUCCAGGCUUCCUAGUAAAGAAUUUUGGACUUUUAAGUUGACUCCUGAAAGUACCAAUGGGUUUUUGAGGUAGCCUGAGAUUAGAUUAAGGGGAAGGUCACACCUCAGUGAGUAUGAAGUUGACUAAGUUCCUACCAUGGCUAACUGAAAACAUUCUCAGGACAUUCCCUGGAUCAGACAAAAGAUUCUGCCUGUUGAUUCUUUCAUUUCUGCUAACUGGAAUUUAUAACUGCACAGUUUAAAUGAAAACAGCAGAUAAACUGGGAACUACCUAUAAAUAAUUUUGUGCCCGAAGGAGAAGGGGCACAAAAUGGGGACAUAAAUGCUGUCUCUGCCACUUCUUUGAACUUGAUGUUGAGAACUUUAAAAGGAAAAAAGAAUGCGGGAAAUAAGUGGGUGACUAAACAAGUAACAGGAGGAUGGAUUUUUACCUAGGGAUGAAAGCCAUCAGUGAAGAUGGAAGAGUGUGCCUAGAAAGUAACUUUCCUGAUCAGGAAAAGCUUUACACUGAUAAGAGGAACUAGGACAGUGGCUACGGAUAAUGGUCUUCUUUUGGGCCAGGUAACACAAUAAAUAAACUAAAUCUUAAUAACACAGCCUUAUAGUUACCACAGGGUUUGUGAAAUAGAACUUAUGAAAUAGAACUUAUUCAUUUAUAUGCGAAAUAUUUAUUGAAUUGUUGGCUGAAUCACAAUAAAAUUACCUGCUUAUUGAUCAAAAAUAGUCAACUAAUAACUUUAUGAAGUUCAACCAAUGAUACUAUAUAGAUAUUUACUUAGAAUGUGCCCCAGUGUGGUAUUUUGGGGCACACAAAUCAGAAUCACCUGGGUAACUUGGUAAAAAUGAAAAAAAGGACCCCUUGUUUAAGAUAGAAUAUGACAAUUGCUCAGGAGGGGAAAGAAAGGUGGAUAUCUAAGAGCUGUGUGGAAGGCAAACAGAAGAAGCCAAGAAAGUGCGAGCCAGUAAGAUAUUGAAGAAGAAAUGAGGUCUGCAAAGAUCUGUAAGUAGAGCUAUGAUGAUAAAACCAGAGUUUCCUAGGGAUGAAAGUGACAGUUUAAACCCUCACAGUGGAUGAGAGAGAUCAGUGCAUGAGAAGAGCCCUGAACAAUCUCAAGGACUAACAAAGCAAAACUGAACUUCCAAAACAGAAGAAACUUCCAAAGAAGUAGAGAAGAAAAACCACCACCACUACCAAAAACAGCAGGAGAAUGUAGCGUUUGAGAGACAAGAGAACAAAAGGAAAGAGCAGAGAAAGGAAAAGGCUCACUGUCAGAAGCUGCAAAGAGACUGUUUGCUAUACUGGUAACUGAACCCAAGGUGGUCUAUCACUGAAUUCUAUCUCCAGCCCUUAUUAUUUUGAGAGUCUAAGCUGCCCAAGGCUGGCUUUGAUUCCCCUGACUUGGUCUCCGGAGUUCCUGGGGUUACACUGUGUGUGUCACCAUGCUCAGCUAAAGGCAGUUUUAGGGGCUGGGGAUGUGGCUCAAGCGGUGGCGCGCUCGCCUGGUGUGCGUGCGGCCCGGGUUCGAUCCUCAGCACCACAUACAAACAAAGAUGUUGUGUCCGCCGAAAACUAAAAAAUAAAUAUUAAAAUUCUAAAAAAAAAAAAAAAAAGAA